GGUAUUUAUGAACUUCAUGGUAUAUUUUUUUAUUUUAACUCAGCUAAUUCUAUACAGGAUAAAAUGUUUGUCUGUCAAGUAUUCCCACUGAAGUAUUUUCAAGUGAGUUUUCCCACAUCUGCAUUGAUAGCUCUAGUAGUCCUCCUAAAAUGAUUUUUCACUACAUCUUUUACAAUGAUAAUUUCAUAUUUGCAAUAUACAGGCACUAAUAAAAAGUGUGUAUUAAAUUAAACAAUAGCUCAUUACAAUAGAUGAGUAGAAAACAGGUAGAACUUGAAGUGACAAAUAGUGAAAAAAAUAAAUAAAAUAUUUUUGUGAACUGGCCAAAAGAACUGGGGUAAAUCUUCAAAGCAUGAAAAAUAUCUCCUGCUUCCUUCACACAAUUACACUGCAGAAGCUAUAAUAACACUUAUGUAAGACCAAUUAGUGGUAAGAGUCAAGGGAAAUAGGUUAACAUGCUGAAGAAAAGUCAGUUUUCUCUCGAACUUACUAAAUAUUUUCUCAGUUUGACAGUCAGCAAAGCUGAAAAUACCUCAGCGAGACUCAAAUUUAUAUGAAGAUUCACAGUUUGGAAGUUCUGUCUCCAGUGAAAUAAACUACUAACAUUCAAAAAAAGCCCUCAAGCCUCAAUAAUCACAUAAGAACUCAGCUGACAAGGUUUAGGCCUAAGCACCUUAAUAGUGUAAACAAACUGGGAAAAGGAUAGUCUUGCCAAUGACACAAAAUAUUAGGCGAGAAAAUGAAGAUCAAGUAAAAGCUGAUGUCAUGCUCUGUGAAAGAUAUUUGUGGCAUUAUGAGAGUCUUGUCUAAACACAGAAAGCUUUGGAUAUACAAGAUAAUGUCAAAAAGAAGAAGAAGAAGAAGAAGAAGAAAAAAAAAAGAAAAAGAAAAAGAAAAAAAAAAGAAAAAGGAAAAGGAAAAGAAAAAGAAAAAAAGAAAAAGAAAAAGAAAAAGAAAAAGAAAAAGAAAAAGAAAAAGAAAAAGAAAAAGAAAAAGAAAAAGAAAAAGAAAAAGAAAAAGAAAAAGAAAAAGAAAAAGAAAAAGAAAAAGAAAAAGAAAAAGAAAAAGAAAGAAAAAGGAAAAGGAAAAGAAAGAGAAAAAGAAAAAGAAAAAGAAAAAGAAAAAGAAAAAGAAAAAGAAAAAGAAAAAGAAAAGAAAAAGAAAAAGAAAGAGAAAAAGAAAGAGAAAAAGAAAAAGAAAGAGAAAAAGAAAAAGAAAAAGGUUGUUCCAACCUCCACCUAUUCCUCUGUUCCUGUGAAAUGCUGACAGUCUUGACAACAGUGUUUCCUGAGAAAAAUAUCAUUCAGAUCUACAUAGUUGUAUUCGUAAGGCUUAGACAUGAAACUGAGUUUUUUCUGACCUUCAGUGUGUCUCAGUUACCAUGGUAUUUACAGCAUGAUACAGAAAUAUGCAAGUCCUUGAAUAAAUGGGGGACAAAGGAGUUCCUGUGGGCAUUUCAGAGUUCUGAAAUGGUGGCAGUGUGGACAGCAUUAGUUUUACUUGCUAAUGCUUGUCUUUGUGUUAUUGAAUCUUUACCAAGCUUUAAAUAACUAAGGAGUUCAGCAUGGCGAUGUAUCAACCCAAAAAAUAAUUUUUCUUUGUUAUUUAGUGGAACAUAUUGAGUUAUCAGUUUCUAAAGAAGAAUUCUCUUUAUACAAUGGAUAGAUGAGGAAAUCACAAGUUUGCACUGUAUAAAAUUAUUAUGCAUUUAUUGACAAAUUUGUAUCACUAAGGCUCAAUAUUUUACCUGUCAAAAACAUUCAUAGGAAAAUGCAGAUAAUUGGUUACAGGUUAGAAGUCUGUAAGUACUUUCUUUGUUGUAUCUCAAGACAAACAUUUUGUCUUUGUAAAAUUUAAUUUAUGGAUCACCACACUUCACCAAUAAAUUACAGUUCUUGAAUAGCAGCUAUAAAGUAUCUAAAACAGAAGAAGGAUAUUUUGUUCCAGAUGCAGUAUUUCUAAGCACAUAGUUGAACCUGUGUGAGAAAAGAGUUCUAAAAUCCUACCCUAGCCUUAAUUUUACUAAGUUCAAAACCAUGAAUACACUGGCUACUUUGCAUGACUUCCAAAACAGUGGGCCAGUAAUAUCAGCUAGCUGCUUAGAGAUACUGCAUUGCCAUUGCCAUUACUGCAGCUCCUGAAUCAUUUCUGCACUAGGAGAAAACAGAUGAAGAUCAGAUGUCUGAGGCUAGUCUAUAUAUUAGAAAUAUGAUCUAAGACACAGCUGAGCUGAAAAUUGUCUGCUUUAUUUAUAGCCAGCUCCACACUUCAUGCCAGGCUCUAAGCAAGCCUAAGCAACAUGCACAGCUCAAAGCUCAGCUCCUUCUGCACUCUGUCAAAACACAUUAACUCUUCUAUGGUAGAUGAAUCCACCCGUUUCUUCCCAGAGGGACCCAAUGUAGCGUGCAGAAAGGUGCUAUGAGAUUUGCAGGCUCCCAGGCUUUUUUUCUGCCAGGGGACAGUGUUGGAGUUCUAUAGAUGAGGAGGCACAUCUUUUUCCUGAACCCCAGAAGGGCUGUUCUCCACCGCACUGUCUGUCUGUGGCCUAAGCACACCAACAUCUGAUUGGCACAAGGAGAACUGUGGCUCUCAGGGAGACUCAUCUUACUCUACCUAGAAAUGAUCUCCCAGUUUUCAGUCAGAAAAGGCAGACACUGCUAUGAAUACUAAGAACUGUUAAUGCUGCCAUUAAAAUUGAGGCAAGCUACCAGCAAUUUGAAAGUGUGAUCACUCAAGACCUAUGAAGAAAAAAAGGUCUUGUUCUCAGAGCUAUUAAAAUGUCAUGGUCAGGACAUCAGCUUGUGCAGCGAUAUGACAGUGUUGACCAGAGCUCUCUCCUGGUAUCUUUUGAAUAUGAAACAUCACUGAACAAAUGCUUCAUCAGGAUUUAAUUUUCUCACAGCAUCUUGGGAAACAGUGCUCAUGCUGAAUUCAUGUCACUUGAGAAUUUCUGGCUAAAUAGACAAGAUGUUGAAGGACUGAAUGUGGAACAAUUGAAGAAAAUUCUAAAAGCUGACAUUUUAACAACCAGCCUCCCUGACAAACUGAUUGUGCAUUGGUCUACAAGGAAUACAAGGAACAUCACCUUGAAUUACAUGCAGAGAACAACCAGAUGAAAGUCCUUCACUCCUGCAAUGAAAACCUGUUGUGUUUCUUCAGAGCUCUAGGUUUUUCCUUCAGUGUUCUGGUUCAUGGUACGUCAGAAGGUUGUUUCUCAGAAAAUAUCUAGAAGGAUCUAUAUGUAUAAGAGUACAGAUCUACAUGCAUAAGAAAUUAAGAGUCUAAUUUUCUUUUGGAGCCACCUUAUAACUGGCUUAACAAAUACUGCUUGUAUGACAUACAAAACAGGUAAUUCAGAGAUAAAGGACAUUAUGUUUUUGCACAUUAGCAUAAAAAAGUAGUUUUCUUUAUUCACCCUCUCAAAAACACAUCUUUUAGUAUCUUCAAAUGUUUGAAAUCUCAAAUCAUGUAUUUCAUUAUGUCAAAGGAGUCUGAGAAACUAUGAUGAGAAACAUUUUUUAACCUGCAAGUGAAAUCUACAAACACUUAGAAUAUGACCUUCAGGUUGAAUGUUCAGGUCACUGUUUCUUCAGCUGUUGAAGGUGAUGGGAAUGGGAAAUCAAAGGCAUGUGUUAAUCAGGAACAAUACAAUACACAAGUACUAUUCUGUGGCUUGCAUGUCAACAGCUUAUAUGUUGAAUGAAGUUAGCCUGGUAACCAGGAAAAAGGUGAGACUGCAGUCAAAUUACAGAGAAGAACUGUCUUAUCUUUUAAUAAAUCGAAGUUCUCAGAAAUCUGCAUAAGAGUGGGAAUACACCUCUAGUUUGGAACAGAAGACCUUAACAAGAAGCAACCAAUAAGUUAAUGUGCUUUCUUUUCGAGGAAAGAAAGCAAUUGUGACUUACAUCUCUCUGAAUUUAUCUUCCUCUGUAACAGUCUGGAAAGAGAUACUACUCUAUGGUCCUGACUCCUCACUAUUCUUUUAUCUUCUGAAUUUGGUGAUGCUGUGAAGUUGUGUGACUGGAUCCUACAGGUAGAAGAAAGAAUGACUGAUAUAAACUCACUCACUUGAGAAAUACUAACAAGUUUCUUGUUUCAACAAAUAAUUCAGGUGUUACCCUUGAUCUUCCUGAGUGCUGAGCUAGUCCCUAGUUGGUAUCUGAAAUGGACUUUUAUUCUGUAGCAAUACUAGCAAACUGCCAGAAGAUACUUUAAUUUCUACACAACCUGGAUGCAUUUUAAAUUAUACUUUGCAGAAUGUGAUUGUUUUGUUUUGUUUUGUUUUUUUACUGGGUUUGUAACAAACUAACAACUCCUGAUGAAAAAUUCAAUUCUGUCUCCUUCCUUACAUGUAGAUACUUGAAAAAAAAUAUUCUUCUUCAGUUAGUUAUUAUCACGCCUGAGUGGUAGACUAAUAAAAACUACUUUUUGCUGGAUUUGCAUUAGUUCAUUUGGAACUCUGGCAUGAAGUGGUUGUGGAUCCACUGAUCCUAGUGUAUAAAAGAUGCCUGAAAUUACACUGUCUGUCUCAUUGCUGUGUAACAUUCGCUUCAAUGAGAAAAAUUUCAAGAAUAAACAGGCGGUCUUCGUGGCAUGCUCGGUCCUCUUCUGUCUUACGCCAAUUUUUCUGGUCUACCUUGUAAACCUGGAAACUUUAGGUGAAUAAUUGAGCUUAAUGUGCUCAGUGCCUAGUUAAAUAAAAAAACAAACAAACAGACAAAUUCAGUCUCUUUUCCCUAGAAUCAUAGAAUGACACACGGCACUGGAACAAAAUACUUAAAAGCUGGGGCAAGAUCAGACAGCUUCAGGCACCUUCCCACUAACAUGGGCAAUACAGCUGAACACUGUUCAUUUGUUCUUGUGGCCAAAAUCUCACAGUUUUAUUUAACUUGGUGAUGUUGGAGUACCUCAUUGUGCAUCUUUAUAUGACAAUAAAGAUAUUAAAUUGAGUAUGUAAACACUUCCUUGACUCUGCACAAGGGAACCUUGGAACUUCUUUUUGUAAAGAGUGUUGAGUCUGUCAGGAACUGCUUUUCCAAUCUCACUGGGGAAAAACCUUUUAUAUUGUUUUUUUUCUAGUUACAAGUGAAUGAAUAACUGCUUCCAGAAAAAAAGCAUUGCUAGGGAAAGUAGAAUACCUAUGGGGAAUGUGCAAGAUGUCCCUCUAAUCUUGUUGAGAUAACAUACGCACUGUGAUAUAUCAAGCACGGUGGAAAGAUGGGUAUUCAGAACACAGACUGUUUGGAAGAGAUUAAUUUGAAGGUAAAGAUGGCAAUGUAACCUUAGGAGAACACCAUGAUUAAAUAGAAAGUACCUUUUAACUGCUGGCAUUGCAAAAAGAUGUCUGUGAUUUGCUGUACACUUCUUUUCUAAAAUGAGCAAAAGGACUAAAUCCUACAAAUUUGUCCAACUCUCACUAAAGCCAACAGGAAUUUUUCAUGUUUAUAAAAGGGUAAAAUUCUUUCUGCUAGAGAAUAUGAACCCAUGUUCAGCAGCAUACAGAGAUUUGUUUUGAAUUAUAGCACUUAAAACAACAGGUAAACACUAGUAGAUCUCUGUGUAACGAAUGCUCAAUAAAUAUAAUUCUUUGAGCUCCCAUGGUGUGCUGCUUCUUCAAUACCUUUUUUACUGACAUCUAAGCACUGAUUUAUUUAUCUGACAAGAAAGGUUACGUGCAUGUAUCCUUAAUUUUUACUAUGGCUUUUUCUUAGCACUAACAAUAUAGUGAAGUGUUCAUUACAAUUUCUGUUUUUGUAUUCUAUUAAACUUAUGAAAUUAACUUCGGGUCUGAAACUUCCUAAACUUUGCUUCUGUCUACGGGUGCAAUUUUUGUAAAACAGUUCCAGAAAAAUUAUUCAGAUUCUUCUGAGUAAUAGGAGAAUAAAAGUGCAUACCGAUUAGCAUUUUAAAACAGUAAUGAGCAGUAAUAACUGAAAACCAAGUGAGGUGAAAAAGGGAUUACACAUUUUGCAUGCAAAAAGCUAUUACUUUUACUGAAGUGACCUGAGCUAAGUUAUAGGUUUGUUCUUCUAUAGGCAAUAUGUGAGGAUUGGGGGAAAAAAUGAAUCUUAAAGCUAUUAAAAGGACUGUUAAGAAGAUGCUUUGAAAUGGAUAGUUCCUAAAGGCUAUAGGCUAUGCAAGAAUAACAGCAGUUAAAAGGAUGAAAAUUGUAAAGGUCUUGCCACUUCUUUUGACUCUAAGCCAAGUAGAUUGAAACCAUCAUGAUUUUGAUGACAGAUCUGAGCAUAUAACACUAUAAAUACUUUGGUUUCAUGUACAUUGUGUGGAUGCAGGUCAACAUUAAGGGUCUAGCCUGAAAUGACAUUCAGAGAAAAACUGAGUGUGGGGGACUCUCAGCCAUGAUAAAACCUGCCCUUUUUAGGUGAGGGGCACACCAUUCCUGGCACAGUCAUCUUGUGCGAUCAUCUGCCUUUUCAGCAAUGUCACGUGAUUACCUCGUUUGUCCCCAAAAUUGUAUUGCUAAAGUAAUUUGAAUUGUAGAUAACUGAAUUUCACCUGCCUGCCUAAUGGUGUGGACUGCGACUACAUCUGUCCUCCAACAUGAAAUGGAGGGGUGGGUCCAGGAUUAAGAAACAAUCUGGAUGUGAUCCAUCUCCAGUGGCAUACUGCUUGGCAUCUGUGGAGUCAGAGUUUAAAUUAUUCUAAGGUGCACAGUUUCUUGGUAGUAAGCUACAGCUACCUGUAGGUGGUCUUAUAAAUGGGAAAGCACUGUGCACUCUGACAUUAGCCAAAGUCUUUCAGCAAAUGGAUGCACAGGAUCCCACACAGUCAUAUAGGGGAUUCAUCUGAGAAAUGCAGGCUUCUAUUUCUGGUAAUCAUCCACACUGAAAGAGUCAUCCUACUACUCCCUUCAUAGCGAGAGGGAAAUAGCCACUUUCAGGGCACGAUGACUUUUACCCUAAGGUGAAUAUCUAAAAGAGGGCUGAUGAAUCACUCUUCAAAAAUGAUCAUUCCUUUCCACCAACUGUGAAAGGAGCUCAGCUUGGUUAUAAAACUCUGCAAUGUAGACCUCUAAAGUUAUGUACGAUGUAUCCUACCUCUGGUGUCCAAUUUAUUACAGUCUUUAUUUAUGGGAAAUGGUAAUAUUACAGAAUACUACCUAAGGGAUUUUUUUUUUUUUAUUACUGUACAUAUUUUAUGUAUACCUCUUAGCAGAGAACAAGUCUAUCACUACUUUUAACAAAAGAACAUGACAGGCCUUUUCACAUCAGCAGCGAAGAGCAAAAACCUUUAAAAAUACCUAGCAGAUGCUAGCUAGUAUAUUCAAACAAAUGAGAGCCUGCUUGUAGGUAUAAGCCACAGCCAUAAGUUAUAGUAAUUUUUUGUUCCAUAAAGUAGCGUAAAAACAAUUUUUACAUUAUCCUUCAUAUUAACUUUUCCUCAGCUAGAUGCAUUCCAAGUUUUUCGCUUAUACACAGAAGCCAAAAAAAGAAACUGAGGGUAAGAGCAAACAAACAUAUUAUGCAUUACUUAAUUGAAAGGUCACAAAAUUAUUCUGAGCUUUCUUGUCUGCAGAAUACUUACGUUCACUAAUAUUUGUACUUUGACUCUUGACAUCUGAGACAUUUCCUGGCAGACAGUUGUGCUUGCUUAGAGAUGGGACUAUUGUCAUAGGAAUCAGAAUAGAAGGUUAGAAUUACUUUUUCUGCAUAAACUUUCUCUUCAGAAAUAAAAGGUUCAGGUUUUAUUUUAAGUCUGUAGCAACAGAGAGGGUAGUGAUUUAAAUGCCAAAAAAAGAAAGCCUCAAGAGAAGACCUAGGAUUUAUUUAUUUCAACAUUUUAAUUAAUUCUUCUCAAAGAACAAAUCACAAAGCAAAACAGAUGAGAACUCUGGCUUAUUCUGCAAGAAUAAAAUCUCCUUUUAUAAAACCAGGAAUCUGUUUAUUGUAUUCAAAGCUUGUCUAUAACAAUGACCUCAAUCCAAGAAGCUUUCUACUACUACAUCAAGUGCAAUGUUAGACUCGGUGACUGCAGCCCUGUUUUUAAAGGCAAAGGCAAACACCAGAAGGUUUGAAACAAGAUCCAGACCACUGAGGGGUUUCUAACACAGGAGAUGACAUUUUAGACGGCAUGGUUACAGAUCAGGAGUAGAAUUUAUGAUAGUCAGUUAUAAUACUUGGCCUACUAGGGUGGCAAAUAUUUGUCCUCUACCUUUCAUUUUCUGUAAAUCUAGAUUCCAUUUUUUAAGAAGCUAAUGGCAAUAACCAAAAUUACAUUAAAAGUUUGGAGUAUUUUUUUAAAAUUCCACCAACUUUUUAAAAAAUCAUUUUCUGGUUAGCUCAAAAGUAAGAUGAUUAGUAGCUGAGAAUCAAGCUGAGAUUUUCUUACUUCCAGGCACUGUAUCAGAGUUUCUGCAGCUCAACAACAUCUCUAAAGGUCUCAUUGGUUUUAUAGCUUAAGUUUCUGUUUUCUAAAAAUCCUACUUGUAAUAAAGAAGUCAGAUAUUUCCUCUUUAACUCUAACAAAAAUGAUGAUAACUGAUGAAAUACACUGAAAUAUAUAGCCUCUAAAUCCAAAAUACAAUUUUCAAUAACUGUUAAUUGCUGCUGUUACUAUACAUAUAGGUUACUUUAAGAUAUCUCCAUAAAUGUAUUCAGAGCUGACUGAUGUUUUAUUAUGAUAUGACAUGCAAAGAAAAACUGUUCAUGCAUUCACAGAAAUUCAAUACUUUUUGCUUUAAAAUUUUGCAGUAACAUUAAUGUCACUUUUACAGAAAAUUUUUUCCCCGUUUAUUCUUCAUGCCUUUCGUAACUCUAUUACAGGAGCGCAUAUUUCUCAAAUGUUAAGAAACACAGUUAAAGUCAUGGCAAAGCUUUCAGUAAUCCUCACUAAUGUAAUUUCAAGUACUGUGUUACGUCAUGUUGCUGAUAAAAACUUUUUUAAGGUUUGGCCAAGAUCAUGGCUUGUGGGCCCUUUGAUACUGACAUCAUUUCAAACAUGGAUAUCACAGUGUCUUUGUGGAGACAGCAAGGUGGUUUUGUAGGGUGUCUGUGAGGUGCAGAGUCUGCAUACUGUGAAACAGGGAUGGGCUGAUAACAUAAGGAUGAAAAAAUAGAUUCCAAGAAAACCUUACAUUAAAGAGUUGUCAAGAGCACCUUUUGAAAUUGCGAGUUAAAAUGAAGUUGCUUUCUAGGAACCUCUACAUUUUAUGGAAGAGUUUUUAUUUUGUUUGCAAAGUAUCAGGGUGAACUGAGGAAAGAUAUUCUGCUGCUUCUCGUUCAGUGAUGAUCCACCAGAUUUUUUUCAGUCUGUCAAUUCUUCAGUGUUUUGUUUUUUUUUCAUAGAGCAUUUUAAGGCUUUCUAAAACAAGACAACUAGGAAAAAAAACACAUGUUUUUCUGUGACUGAAAUUCAUAAAUUACAGGAUAGGGAGACUGAUACCUUGUUAAUCAGCAGAGAUGGCGUUACUGUUUUAGACACAAACAUGAGGAAAGUUAAAAAAAAAAAAAAAGUAUUUUAUUAUCACAUUUAUUAUAACAUAGGUGAAAAUACAGGAAAGUUUUAGGUACACAUUUCCUAAAAUAGAAAAUUAUCAAUUGUUCCUGCAUUGUCUUUAAUAGCAUAAACAGAACUGUGUUCAUUGAAAGACUCUACUAUUUGCAUGUUAAAAGGACGGCUGAAAUAAAAUAAGCUGUUCACUGCAUUUGAUUCAUUUCUUACUAAAAUAGGGAAUACAGUAUUUGAAUGGUUGUCUGAUUUCAAAAGAGCAGCAAUUAUUUUAGAUAAUAAGAGUCCAUAGAGAGAGUGUAACAGCACAGUCUCACCAAACAGGACAAUAUGCUGUUGAUUUUUGACCUUCUAACAUUCUGGACUGUCAGAAAUUUUCAAAAUGACCUUUCAUGCUGCAAUAUAUUUGGCAUUUCGUCUGGCUCUGAUUUUCCUGCCUAUGUGAGUGGGCGCAACUGCUGCUAAUGUAAGCUUUUCACCUGAGCAGAUGAUUCAUGCACAUGCCUGCACACACACAGAGUAGCAGUGCUUUAUCAACAUUCUGAGAAUGAGACCUAUGUCAUGCUACAGAUUAUAUCUCUCAGCUCCUCUUCCUCAUUAAAAAAACUCACAAUUUUUGUUUAAUAAAAAGUUUUCAAUG